GGAUUAGAUACCCUGGUAGUCCACGCCCUAAACGAUGCAUGCUUGGUGUUGGGCGCAAUAGUGCUCAGUGCCGGAGGUAAUCCGUUAAGCAUGCCACCUGGGGAGUACGAUCGCAAGGUUGAAACUCAAAGGAAUUGACGGGGGCCCGCACAAGCGGUGGAUUAUGUGGUUUAAUUCGAUGCAACGCGAAGAACCUUACCCGGGCUUGAAGUUUACCGGACCGCUGCCGAAAGGUGGCUUUUCUUCGGAACUGGUAAAUAGGUGCUGCAUGGCUGUCGUCAGCUCGUGCUG
rnacentral:rRNA from 1 species